GAGACCUCAUGCAGGAUUCCCCAGCUUUCCCCACAUUUGCAGGAUAUCGUUUCCCACUGGAGACACUUUCUUCACCUCCUACCCCAAAGUGCCGCGCACCUUGCACGUCUUUCCAAAGCAACUGAAUAAAGCGGCUACCGGCCUUCCGCGGCUCAGUCUUGCCAAACCCUCCUCUCUGUACAAAGUUCACUGGCUACAGCACGAGAGACCUUCCAGCUCUGUGCAUUUGUAACCUAAAAGGAAAGGAAUGAGCACUCCUUUUUUAUGGACUCAAGAUUCACAGAGAAUCUCUACUGCUACCACAGAAGACAUUUUGUAGAAGAGGUGACUGCUGAACCAAAAAAGGAAGGAGGUCAAGUAACACGCUGAAGGACACACAAGUGGCAGAGCUGGCAUUUCCUCCAGUAGUCCAAUUUAGUUUAACAUCCUAAACCUUAAUAAUCAUUAUGCUCCUGGAUACUUGGUAUGUCAUAAAAGAGGAACUGUGCCAAUUUAAAUCAACUUCCAGUAGAAUCUGAGAGCCUGAAGACUGAGAAUAUCUUCUGGGUUUCCAACAUGAUGCCUGGCCUUACUAAGAUCCCCCUCCAGGCACGCGGCUUGAAGGCUCUAUUCAGGUUGAAGCUAUUUAUCACAUUAUCAAAGUGGAACUCUCGCCCAGAGAUACUCGUGCCAGUGGGAAAAACCCAGGACAGCUGCAACACCUUAAGCAAUACUAAAGAUUGGCUAACUUCAGAAACAUUUUAAAGGAAAGAAACAACCAGAUGACCAGCUGUUUCUUCUUGUAUUCAGAGAUGGAGCCUCUUUUUUUCUAACCCAGAUACUGAAGUAUCAACUGGAUUAAUUACUUUUAAAAGGCAAAGGGCUCUUACAAAAUGGAUGUGGGGGUAAACUGAGGGAUUCUGAAAGAAACUUGUCUCUUCUUCUCUCCUUGUAUAUGUACUGAGACACCUGAGCCCAAUGAAGUCUCCACAAAAUAGUAGAAAUAGUUAAUUAAAAUGUAUAAUGAGGAGAAAAAGA